GACGAACGCUGGCGGCGUGCUUAACACAUGCAAGUCGAACGGAAAGGCCCUGCUUUUGUGGGGUGCUCGAGUGGCGAACGGGUGAGUAACACGUGAGUAACCUGCCCUUGACUUUGGGAUAACUUCAGGAAACUGGGGCUAAUACCGGAUAGGAGCUCCUGCUGCAUGGUGGGGGUUGGAAAGUUUCGGCGGUUGGGGAUGGACUCGCGGCUUAUCAGCUUGUUGGUGGGGUAGUGGCUUACCAAGGCUUUGACGGGUAGCCGGCCUGAGAGGGUGACCGGCCACAUUGGGACUGAGAUACGGCCCAGACUCCAACGGGAGGCAGCAGUGGAGAAUAUUGCACAAUGGGCGGAAGCCUGAUGCAGCAACGCCGUGUGCGGGAUGACGGCCUUCGGGUUGUAAACCGCUUUCGCCUGUGACGAAGCGUGAGUGACGGUAAUGGGUAAAGAAGCACCGGCUAACUACGUG
rnacentral:rRNA from 1 species